AUUGAACGCUGGCGGCAGGCCUAACACAUGCAAGUCGAGCGGAGCGGCGGACGGGUGAGUAAUGCCUAGGAAUCUGCCUGGUAGUGGGGGAUAACGUCCGGAAACGGGCGCUAAUACCGCAUACUAUCAGAUGAGCCUAGGUCGGAUGAGCUAGUUGGUGGGGUAAAGGCCUACCAAGGCGACGAUCCGUAACUGGUCUGCGAGGAUGAUCAGUCACACUGUAACGUAGAAGCGUUCCAGACGCCUACGCGAGGCAGGAGUGGGGAAUAUUGGACAAUGGGCGAAAGCCGGAUCCAGCCAUGCCUCGUGUGUGAAGAAGGUCUUCGGAUUUUAAGGCACUUUAAGUUGAGAGGCGUUACCAGCAGAAUAAGCACCGGCUAACUUCGUGCCAGCAGCCGCGGUAAUUC
rnacentral:rRNA from 1 species